GAUGAAGAACGCAGCGAAAUGCGAUAAGUAAUGUGAAUUGCAGAAUUCAGUGAAUCAUCGAAUCUUUGAACGCACAUUGCGCUCCCUGGUAUUCCGGGGAGCAUGCCUGUUCGAGCGUCAUUACAACCCUCAAGCUCUGCUUGGUGUUGGGCCCCGCCGCCCCGGCGGGCCCUAAAGUCAGUGGCGGUGCCGUCCGGCUCCGAGCGUAGUAAUUUUUCUCGCUCUGGAGGUCCGGUCGUGUGCUCGCCAGCAACCCCCAAUUUUUUUCAGGUUGACCUCGGAUCAGGUAGGGAUACCCGCUGAACUUAAGCAUAUCAAUAAGCGGAGGA
rnacentral:misc_RNA from 1 species